rnacentral:lncRNA from 1 species
GGAGUCCCCAUUUUCCAAGUAGGUUCUGAUUUCCCGAGAGAUGGCAAAGGCCCUGGCAGGAAGUUUACACGGCCCAACGUAAACACGUUCUGGGGGAUUCUUUAAUAAUAAUAAUAGAGAAUUCCGCGUGCGCGGGGGGGAGUUGGCCUAAUGCCCCUGUGGGCUCGGCCUGCCGCCGCCGCGGGGCCUCCGACUGCGCACCCGGCCAGGUUCCGGAGAGCGGGCAGGGAGCGCGGGCCGAGGCUGCCCUCGCGCCCCUGGCUGCCGGCCUAAGGGCUCGCUCGCACGCACGCCUCCGCUCGUCACCCUCGCCUUGCCGGCGUGCGGACAGGGCCUGCGGCGGUGGGAAAUCUGGGAAAUCGGAGCGCAGCGCAGGACCGCGCGGGAGGCCGGCGGGACGCAGCGCGCACAGACCCCGCUCAGGGGAGGGGGUGCACCCGGGCGCCCGGCAAGGGACGUGGAGCCACAGAAGCAGAGCCCGCUCUGCAGGCGAAGGGUCUGCGCAUCGCCUUCUCCCUCACCGGGCCGCCGCGGCGGAGAUCAAUGCGACUCAGCCUCGUGUCCUGGGGAGCCCAGAGCUGCAGCCCCGGAGCGUGCAGGACUCGGGGCGCCCAAGGCCCGCAGCCCUGGGAGGCGCCUUCUGGAAGUCAACUCCAUGCACUCUCCAGCCGCUCGCUUGGCUGUGGGGCACCCAGGGUGGAUUUCCAGGGGCAGGAAGCUGUGCAGAGUUCAUUGGUGGAAAGGAUGAAUUAAGAGAAAACCACUCAGAGGAACAGAAAGGCAUCCUAGGCAUUUGAGGCCAGGAGCAGAGCUGAGAGGGCUGUCUCCCUCUUUCAUUGUAUGGGCUGCCCCGACAAAGCACCGUACAUGGCCUGGGCGGCUUAUUCCCGACAGACGUGGAUUUCCUGUUCCAAGGCUGGGCGUCCAAGCUGGGGUGCACCCGGCGGCCUGUGCUCGCUCCCCACUGCCAUCUCCUCACAUGGUGCGCUUGCCCUGUGACCAGUUGGGGGCAUGGGCCUCUGGCCCCCUGCAGUCAUCCUUUCGGUGUCCAGCACAGCAACAACCACAGACAUGGCAGGAAGGCCUGUAGCCAGGAGAGGGGACCCCAGCGCACCCCAGGAGCUGCCCCGGAGCAGCCCGCUCCCCAUGACUGCGGCCACAGAGACCGUGAGAAGCAGCGAGAGACACUGCUGAGGCCACUGCAUUCUAGCGUGGUUUGUUAGGCAGCCAGAAGCAACCAGAAGAAACCGGGUUUAUGUUUUAAAAAUAAACAUUUUAUUGAAACAUCACAGGGAAGGGACAGGGAAGCCCCCCGCCAGGGCAGCAGGCCCAUCAGGACGCAGCGUGUGCCCCUGGACGGCCCCCGGGGUGACCCCGCAGCCCACAGAGUGGCCUGGCAGGCGCAGAGGGAGACACAGCUCCCGGGCCAGUGUAGGUCUGCUCGCCCCUCCCUGUGGUGCACUAGGUCCCGUGGUGGCUGCCCUGAGCCUGGGCUCCCUGGUCCUCCUGGCCCGGUUGUGCUCCACGACGCAGUGGACACAGCUGUUGUCCCUUCUGCUGCAGUCACUGAGACCACCUGUGUGGGGUGUUUCUGCCGGGGGCUCAGGCCCUCGCCUGUGCACACCCCAGUCAGGGCUCGGUGCCCUCACUGCUGCCUCUCUCCCAGGGCCCUCGACGCUGCCACUACUGCCUGCUGGUGGCCUGGGCAGCUGGGCCAGCUGCCAAGUGACGCUGGCUCCUUUGGUUCCGAGUCAUGGACUUUAGAAGGUAGUACCCUGAGCCACAUGGGCGCCCCGCACCUGGCGCCCCACCUGGGAAAGCCCACCUGGUGUCCCCCACGGGUCUCUCAUGACCACAUGCAUCGGCGGGGCCUGGGGAGGCCCGGCCCGGGAGCGCUUUGUGCAGGGAGGAGUCCUAGGCCCCGGGCGACGGUGCCGGGUGGGAGACACUCAGAGCAGGGGGUAGACCCUCAACGCAGGACGCCGGGGUCAGGGCUGCUGCCCCAGGGGGUGCACGUGUACAUGGUCCUCGGCUUCUCGUGCCCACUCGAGGAGGCAGUUGGCCACACCUUCCAACUGCCAGCUUCCAAGACAGAGAAGACAGCGUCUGCUGUUUUAAGCCACCAGUCCAGGGGCUAAAUCCAGAUUUCUGUGCCUCAUCUUCCACAUAGGAAUAUAUGCAUGCUUUUG